rnacentral:rRNA from 1 species
GAACUUAAGCAUAUCAAUAAGCGGAGGAAAAGAAACCAACAGGGAUUGCCUCAGUAACGGCGAGUGAAGCGGCAACAGCUCAAAUUUGAAAUCUGGCCGCAAGGUCCGAGUUGUAAUUUGUAGAGGAUGCUUUUGGCGAGGUGCCUUCCGAGUUCCCUGGAACGGGACGCCAUAGAGGGUGAGAGCCCCGUACGGUAGGACCACCAAGCCUCUGUAAAGCUCCUUCGACGAGUCGAGUAGUUUGGGAAUGCUGCUCUAAAUGGGAGGUGUACGUCUUCUAAAGCUAAAUACCGGCCAGAGACCGAUAGCGCACAAGUAGAGUGAUCGAAAGAUGAAAAGCACUUUGAAAAGAGGGUUAAAAAGUACGUGAAAUUGUUGAAAGGGAAGCAUUCAUGACCAGACUUGGGCUUGGUUGAACAUCCGGCGUUCUCGCCGGUGCACUCUGCCAGUCCAGGCCAGCAUCAGUUUGCCCCGGGGGAUAAAGGCGGCGGGAAUGUGGCUCCCUUCGGGGAGUGUUAUAGCCCGUCGUGUAAUGCCCUGGGGCGGACUGAGGAACGCGCUUCGGCACGGAUGCUGGCGUAAUGGUCAUCAAUGACCCGUCUUGAAACACGGACCAAGGAGUCGUCUUCGCAUGCGAGUGUUCGGGUGUCAAACCCCUACGCGUAAUGAAAGUGAACGUAGGUGAGAGCUUCGGCGCAUCACCGACCGAUCCUGAUGUUCUCGGAUGGAUUUGAGUAAGAGCAUACGGGGCCGGACCCGAAA